UUAUCAUCUUUGAGGAGCUAUUUCCUUGGCAGUGGCAUUCUAACUUCAAAUAGAUCCAUCAAAGCUCUCCAAAAGGAAGAUUCUUUCUCGUUCUGUAUAUGGAGAAGGCAAUGACAAAUCUAGUUUGAGGGUUUACAGUUAAGUAUUGGAAAAGAUUCAUGGUACAGUAUAAAAAGAAGAGGGUGGAAUAUAUCUUCUUGAGGCUUAGAGCUCUGCUGCUGCAACAAAGAUGAGUUAUUUGAGUGCCAGAGAUCAGAUGAAUUGCCUAUAGACAUGCUAAGGAAGUUUUCCUGUGUAUGAGUAACUAAGAACACAAGCUAUUCUUGCAAUCUAGUGAUGGGGCAGUCCUUUAAUUCAAGGUUAUAGAAUGGUUGAUGGCAAAGACACCAGGAAGUAAAUUUUUGAGAGGAAGGCUCGCGUUAUUGGGAGUACGCGUCAUUGGACGGCAAUCUCCUGGUGGAAAAGACUGUCCAUGCCUUGAAGUGGAACCGAUGAAUAGGCAAAAAUCUUCAAGUACUUAGUUAAGAAUGAAUAGGCAAGUCAAACACCUUUAUGGUACUUUUGAACACACUGAAUUAGAAAUCAAUGAACAAACAGAUAAAUACAACCAAAAAGAAAUGAACACCUCAAAGUAUUUUGUUAGCUUACU